rnacentral:tRNA from 1 species
UCAGGAAUAGUCUAAUGGUAGGACGUCCGGCUCUGACCCGGCAGGUAGUGGUUCGAAUCCAUUUUCCUGAGCCA